GGGCCUGAGCUCAGGGGGAGAGAAUCUGCUUUGAAAGCAGAAGAUCCUAGGUUCAACCCUUGGCAGAUCCA